rnacentral:lncRNA from 1 species
UCAUUUAAUAGAAAGGUAUCAAAACAAAACUAAACUUAAAAAGCUUGUAAACAAAUAAUAUGUAAUCUAUAUUGCAAUCAAACUGUUAACAACGUGCAAUAACACACCACACAAGGACUAGAACUGUUCAAAGAAAUUUGAUGUUCUACAAAGUAUAUUAGUCUUAAUAAUAAACUAUAACAGUUAGGUACAACAUUAUAAGGUAAACAAUUAAGGUACAAAUGUAGUUGAACUUAAUGUGAGUCGUUUAAUGUAUAAAGGAACUGUUUUGAAAACAAUAACAAAAAGUGUUGAACUGAGAAGUUUGCAGUAAGACGGAUAUUAUUUUUUGGAAAUUUCAUAAUUACUUGACUGUCAAUUGUUUUAUAAUCAAAAUGAAUUCGAUAAGCUGUGUAGUUAGUAUCAGUAAAUAAAUGUAACUAUAUACAUAUGGAAAACAGCAUUAAAUGUUACAACAUAAAAAAAUGUAUUCAAUAUUUCAUUUUUCUGCUUAUCACAAAACACCCUGUUAUCACAAAACAUAACCUGUUAAUAUAAGUAAUAAACAUAGCAAAUAAAUUCUUACAAAUAAAUAAAUAGAAUUGUGCAAAUUCAAAUACAUUAUAAUCAUUUUAUGAUUUCUAAAUCGGUACCAUUAAGUGCUCCAUACUUCAAAUAAAUUAAUAUACAUCUCAAAAAAAUGAAUACAAAACGAAACAAUGUUCUAUCAGUUAAAAACUGCAUAAAAUCUAUUUUUGUGUACAAUUAAAAAAAUCAAUAAUCUCGUACAGGAAUGUGUGCACUAGGAAUUUCAGUCAAACAUUCAGGUUUAUAAAUUUCAUAAAGAGUUAUCAAAACUUGCGAAGUAUAAAUGAAACAGAAAAGACCGAAUGGUUAUAUCCUGACUUGUAUAUUUAUGCUCUUUAACUUCGUACUUUAUGAGUUUUUGUAGACGAAACGCGCGUCUUGCAUAUGUAUAAAAUAUAGUCCUGGUAUCUAUGAUGAGUUUAUUAAAUGCAUAAACAGCAAUCCAUACACCGUAAGAUUAUUACGGGAGGGUAAACAAAAAUUAGGUAGGAAACCUAUUUCUGAUAAGAUUCACAGGCACUUUUUUAAACAAUGCCAGUCAAGGUGGAUCACAACUGUAAAACUGAGUAUCCAACUAAAUCUUCUUAAACAGGAUUCUUUGCUUAUCUGAUAUUCAAUGCUAUUAUUUGAAAUUAUGUCUAAACUAAGAAAUAACAGGUAAAAUUGUUAAGUGUUCUUAAAGAGGCAUCAUCUAUGAAAUUCAUGUUCACCCAUUUGAUUUAAGUUCUCUUCUUUCUUGACUUAUAACAUACUAAAUUGAAUAUCAAAAGUACAAAAAGUCUAAAAUAAUCCAUUAACAAUACAUGGACUCGAUAAUAUAUACCAGCGUUUCGUGUGUAUUUUUUUUUUCUACACGUCAUUUAAUUUACCAUCGAGAUGACCUCCAAUAACUGUCUAUAACCCGAUAUAAACAUAAAUUUAUAAAUAGAUAGCAACUACGUGUAAUAGAUUUUUUUUCGGUCUGUGUGAUUUCAUAAUGUUAGUAAAAACGUAGGUUGAUAAUCGUUUUUACCUGUAUAAGAAUGAUUCAUUUGGAUCGAAUCAGUCAACUAACUAUUCACCCUUGUUUCACUUUCAAUUUUAAAAUUUCUUUCCUUUUGAUAGCUGAAUACAUGCGUCACCCUUCUCCAGCUAAGGGGUUUAAUUGAGAGUCAUAUGAAAACGGAAUCAUUGAGGUCGAAUUAUUCACUUACAAGUGGAUAACUCAUCAGCAAUGUUUUUCAACUUAUUUUGACAAAGUUAAAACAACUGGCGAAUUACUAUUUUACUAUUUGACUCUCAUUUAUGAUUGAACAAAACAAAUUCUUAUUUCAUUGUUUUUCAUAUUUCGUAGCUUAAGCCCAUUUAAACUAAAUCCUCAACUAUAUCUCUAGAAAUAAGUCAACAACGAAACUUGUAAAUGACUGCACAAAAGUUAUUGUUAUUAAAGACCUAUGCAAGUGCUGGCAGUAAAACCAAACAUACAUAGUAUGUAAAAUGACUUAAUUGAAACUCGUUUUCUUUUAUAAAUACAAUAUUAUUGAAUUGCAACAAUAAUCUAGAGAAUUGAUACUUAUGAGGAAACUUUGUCUACUUUUUACGGUUCAUCAAAUUAUAUUAACACAGUUUACCUGAAAAUUACAUUAAUUGUCUGUAUUUGAUUUUUUCUGUGUUGUACGGAUUGUUAGUUUUAUUGUUUUAACAUAAUGUUGCAUCAUCACAGCUAUCGUUUUAGUUUGUCUGCGUGGUCAUAAUCAUCGACUCUCUUACGAUAUUUGAUGCUACAUUUGAUAGCAUUUAUUAUGGUGAUUUCAGAAUAUGCUUUUCACAGACGACACACAAGAAAGGACAAACACUCCAGCUGUCGAUUGGAAAAGGUGAGCAACUAAAAUAAGAUAACUUUCAAGAUGUUAUCCUUUCAAACAAAUUAUAUGCUUUAAUAUUCCAAGUUUCUAUAACUUAAUUCCAGGUCGUCGACUGUCAAAUAAAUCCCAAAUUCUAAUGGUACCAUCUUCACUGCAUGUCACAAAACGAUCCUCCGUUACCUUAAAAUAGAACAAAAGUGUGAUAAGUCAAAAGUAUUAUAGAAAACUAGCUUGCACACACUGUAUGGUAAGGUUGGCUACAACAAGCUAAAUAUGUUCAAUCAAUGUUGUAUAUUGGUUUAGGAGAUGAAGAUU